UACGGAGGGGGCUAGCGUUGUUCGGAAUUACUGGGCGUAAAGCGCACGUAGGCGGCUUUGUAAGUUAGAGGUGAAAGCCCAGGGCUCAACCCUGGAAUUGCCUUUAAGACUGCAUCGCUUGAAUUGUGGAGAGGUAAGUGGAAUUCCGAGUGUAGAGGUGAAAUUCGUAGAUAUUCGGAGGAACACCAGUGGCGAAGGCGACUCACUGGCCCGAUACUGACGCUGAGGCGGCGAAAGCGGUGGGGAGCAAACAGG
rnacentral:rRNA from 1 species